CAUAGAAUAUGAGUUCAUUGAAUGCAGAGGCCAAUUUUUUGUCUUACUUUGUAUUCCCAGUGCUUAGCACAAUGUCUGGUACACAGUUAGAGUAUAAUAAAUGCUAUUUAAAUGACUGAAUAAUUUCAUCAGAUAUAUUCCAUCCUGCCACCACAUGCAUAUCUUCCUCUCCCUCAUCCAUUCCUUUUCAUCUCUUGUUCUGGGAGAGGGAAAGAUUAGUUCUAUUAUUUCAUUGGUAUCAGAACUCGGAUGAUGAAAUAUCUCUGCUAACCCAAGUCAGCACCUUUUCAACAAUUUGCAAUCUUAAGAGAGCUCCCCUGAACACUUUAAGGUUGCAGUAUAUACCCAGGAUUCAGUAAUCCAAUUAUAAAUAUAAUUGCUUCUGGGAAAGUUGUAUGAAUAGACUAGACUAUUGUUUUAUUCACUAUUCCUAUCACUUGCUAGAUCAAAACAUCUUCACUUUAUCAUCAUUCACCUAAGCCUCUUGAGGGUUCUCACUUUUGUACCUGUAUCACUACUGAUAAAACAAAAAAACUCAAUAUAUGCUUUUGUGAAGAUGGGAUUGACUCUCCCCUUGCCUAUUUUUUAAUUAAUCAACCAAAACAUUAACACUCCUACUUGGCAGGAGGUGGGGGAGUUCUCAAACCACUUAGAAAGCUCCACCCUUUCAACUCAAUCAGUCAGAAACUUGUGAAUCCUUUGAUAAGUUUAUACCCACAUAGGACUAGAGAUGAAACCUACAAACAUUGCCCCCCUACCACCCCACCACCUGGGCAGUGCUAAGCAAAUUUAAAGACUCUAAUUGAUCCCCAUAAAAUGGAGGAAGGGGCAGGAAGGGAUGUAAAAAAGGACUAUAAAAUAUGAUGAACUUCCUGUGCAAGAGGUCUUUGUCCUAAAUUUUCAGUUUGAAGGAGCUUGGACUGGGACUGCGGCUCUUGGACUACUUCUGGUAAGAUGACUCCCAGAUCUUCUUCCUUUGGAUCAUCUCCUGGUUUAAAACUGUUCAAAGAUAAAUUGGAGAAAGACAGGUAUGUUUACAAAAAUAAAAUUAUUCCUCUAACCAUCUUCAGAAUAGUAAGAAAAACAAUAUUCAAGAGAAUUAGAAUUCGUUAUUAUUACACCACAACCAUGAAACUAG
rnacentral:lncRNA from 1 species